AAAAGAUUUUUGACGCAACCUGAAGUCUUCAAAUUAUAAUAUAAUUAAAUUUUGUAACCUGGACUUCCGUAUCUUUUCACCGUCUUCCUAAUAUAUUCUCCCCCACAAGAAACCUCUUGUUAUUGAUCCAAGUACCAUAGCCCAGCUUCCACAGAAAAUUGUGCUCAGGACAACAAGAAUCAAGAACAAGUCAGGUAAUCGAUGCACAAAAUCCAACCAAUAUAUAUAUGUUAAAAAAGGGAGAGGAAAUCUGUGUAAAUGAGGAAUCACAAGAAAUCAAAUGGGACACACGUUCUAAAACGUACCAGCAUGAUUGAUUCACUUUCCAUUAAUAUAAAAAUUCCCUGGUCCCAGUAGAUAAAAAAGAAAGAAUAAGGACAAAAGUAUGCAUAUCAUUCAAGAACAUUGACAAGGAACACACGUUGUCUUGGUAUCAAGUGGAUCCAGAAAGUGGACAAUCUCCUUUUGCUUUUCUAUCACAAAAACUUCUGCUAUCAAUCUAAAAUGAAAAGGAGGGAAAAUUCCAAUUACUAUUUAGCAAAAUAAAAAUAUUACAUGAACAGUAGCAUUUACUAUUUCUCAAAACUAUGUCCUAUUAUAGUCAAAUCUCACAUUCUUCAAAUUUGGACUCUCUUCAUACAAAUGCAGACUAGGGAAGAUUCUACGCCUGAAAGUACAUUACCGAAAGAUAUAUUUCAUUCCAUCAAUGCAUUAAUCAGAUACAAUGACUAGCAUCACACCCUGCACUGUUACCAGCUUCUCAAACCAAUUUAACUCUUUAGAGAUUCAAAGGAUAAAAAACAAAAGAUACGCUACCACCAUCUAAAACAAUUCACUAAAAAGUAGAGUAGGAGAGAUUACUCCAGACUGGCUACUAAUUAAAGACAGGUAAACAAAAAUGUUCACUGUUUAAUCAUUCAACUAUGACAAAGAAAACUCCUCACCAUUGCAAACACUCAGUAUUAGAUGGGACUGAGAUAAUUAGCAAAUCUACCUGUCAUCAACAGAAAGAAGGCAUAAGUCUCUAGAUAUAUACUUCAGUGAAUACGGAAAUGCAAUUGAAAUCGGCAUGUAAACAAGAUAAUCUUGAUGCUUUUUAUAUUUUCUGCUAUUUGCAAUCAUUGUUUUACAUGAAAAUACAAAUAUUUAUUUCUGCUACUUAAAUUGAGAGUAAACUGCAUCCUAUCCAGCUCAGUAAGCUGACAACUUCAUAUCUGAACCAUAGCCAGUUUUAAUUCAUUUCAAUUCUUUCAACGGAGCUAAAUCCACUUGUUAGAUCUUUUACUAUAUGGUAUAAUGGGUAAUGCCAAAUAAAAGCUAAUACAUCCCCUACUUAUGCAAACAGAAUCUCACCAGUUUCAAAAUGAUUUGAAUUUCUAAAAUACAAUUGGUAAAUUGCUUGAUCUUUUAAUAACAGAAAGUCACUAAUCUUUCUAAGUAUAUGGCACUUUGGUACUUGCACCCAAACCAGAGGAAGGGUUAAAGCCUCCAUUAAUUCAUGGACUAAGAAAGUUGUUCUUAAAAUAGUAAUUUCCUUGAUGCAAAUGGUUGGUGCCCAAAUUUCAAAGAUAGGAAAAUCCAUAGACUGGCUCUUUCUAGGGAUAUAAGUAGCAAUUUAUAUAGGAGAAAAAACUGACAAAUCAUGAUCGUAUUCUUUUUCCUAUUGAAGUUAAUCAGCAUUUUAAAUAAUUUGUUAGCAACUAGGAGUUUUUUCUUUCUAUGUUAUAGACUAUAAUCUUCUUGUUCCAGAUCCCUGAUUCAUAACAAUGCAUUGUUUUCACAAUUCUGCUCUUUAACUAUUUAACUUUUGUCAACUCAACUAUGCUUUCUUUAUUCUAUUCUUUCCAAGGCAACCAUUAUGAGUGGAAGCAAAUGUGAGAACUUCUUAAUAAAAAGAGAGGACUUCUUAAUGGCUUCUUUCCUAAGCAUUUUGCAUUAUGGAUGCAUUAUUUGAUACCCAAAAAAAAAAGGAAAUAGAUCUCAUGUUUUCCCAUUUUCAUUGUUCUUUUUCCGCUUCACCCAAAAUUUACCCAUUCCACAACUAUUUCUUUCAAAAUUAUAUUUAUCAUCCUAAGCAAUCCAUUCAUGCAAGUUAUACAAUCAGUUCAUGUACUCCAUUAUUCCCUUAUCCAACAAUGAUUUAAAUUUUGGAGCUAUUAUAAAAGGCCAUAUAUUUCAUCAUCUUCUAUUCAGCAGUUUUACUAAAUUAUUGCAGUGUGAACCUAAACCUGGGCAAAUUAUGGAUCAAAAGCAUUGAUACUCACUUUUUUAAAAUUCAUUUCCACCUGUGAAUUAAAGUACCUUUCCUAGUACCUCAGGAAAUUCCUAUGCCUUCAUUAAGCAAGCAUCCAUAAUGCACAUUUAGAAUCCUAAUUCUUGAGUACUACUAUUACCAUUUUUUUUUUCAUGUAGACCACUUACAACCUCACAUCCUCACAUCCUAUUGAGCAUCCCUUAACAGUGAUAGGUAUGGAGGAAUUCAUAUUCAAAAAUAAGAAAUCUUCCUUCAAAUUUUAAUAGCAUUCAACAUAAUUUCACAUAGUUAAGAUAGUCUAAUAAUUUAAAUUGGCUGUUCACUACUAAUUUUUCUCAAUCAUCAAAGAUUGAACGCUAUGUCAAGAAUUCAUAAAUAAUAUCAACAUGCAAUUGCAUAUUGAUUAAGAAUAAAAACCAUCAGUUGCUCAUGCGAGAGAAAGAAAGAGAGACCUUUGGCGGAGGUGCUGAGUUCACUGGGGAGCUUGGAGACAAGGCAAGAGGAAGCGAUUGCACUAUGGACAGGCAAAAGUGAGCUCAAUUCUCGC
rnacentral:misc_RNA from 1 species